rnacentral:lncRNA from 1 species
AAGAAACAAAAGACCUGUUCAACUGUAUGUUUAACAUAUGCAAAUAAUAUGAAUGAAUAUAUGUUGGAGUCAGCGGAAUAUAUUGGACAAACAUGCGUCUACUAUAUGUGACCUCUAUGUACAGUGUGGGUAAAAUAAAACCACAUGCGUAGCCUAUUUUGUGUACUGUAAUGCAUCAUGUUAGGUUCAUUCUUUCAACAAUACAUGACUGCUUCAGACAUGAACCAACGAGGUCAUUUUGAACCAAUAGGAUUUAACCAAGACCGUACCACAAAGUAAACAUGUUUUUCCCCCUUCAUUUUAUCCUGAGGGGAAAAUAUGCUGAAAAAUCGGCAAUGUUAAAAUCAACAGAAGUGAAGUUUGUGUGUGCACAACAUAUGAAUGCCUAGGGGUUAUCUGAUCAGAAAGGCUUAGUUGGCAUUAUACUAUUUGAUACCUGAGGACAUUGUGUGGACAUGCACACUACACCACGCUAGCUACAUUCACUGUUCCAAUAGCUGUCCAGAAAGACUGCCAACAGACAAUGACUCUCCUCUUUAUCAAGCUUGAACAGGUGGGCUUUAUGUGUGUCCCUGAAUGGAUGAUUUUGGCAUUAAUGCGCAUUAUCUGGGGAAUGGAGGCUCUCGUGGGAGAUUCCCUCAAUCUCUUGCGAGCGAUGGCACACCUGUCUCUUCCUGUCCUUGUACAGGAUAUUCGUGAUACAGGCCCCAAGAGCCACAGAUGUCCUGGUGUCCCUUGAGGCAAAGAUGAGGAUCAUGUCCCUAUUGAUUUGACACAAGCUGAAGUCAAUGAUACUUUCCCAUACCUUUUUCAGACUACAAAGAUUGCCAAAAUUGCUGUACCAAUUUUUGUCUCUAUCUCUCCUUUCACAAUGACCAAUUGCCCCUCCCUUUCCCCACCUGAAUGUACAGACUGUUUCUAUGAAAUUCCAUCCCCCAUGUUGACCAAAGCUGGUGUAGUCUUCCACUGCUCUUCAUCCCACCCAGUCUAUCUCACUGUGAGCAGUGGGCCUCCCAAGGACACAUGAGGAAAACAUAGCCAGACAGGGCUGACAUUGAUCUAAAUCUACAUCAGCGCAACCAGCUCUCUUGGCAUCCUUAAAGGAAGCUAAAUCAAGACAGAUUGUGCGUCCUCAAGCCCUGACAGCAGUGCCGUACUGAUCACAGCAUCACUUCUCCAGCUCUGCCUACGCCCAGCUUAGUGGCAGCCACAAUGCUCUGAUCUCGACACGAGCCUGACGACUGAUGCGCUGAACACAGCAUCCCCUGUGGCCAAUCGGGGGAAAUACAGAGGGCUGCAGCACUGGCUGUUGCAUAGCACCCCAUUUGGCCAAAUAGAUGCAUAUGGAAGCUGGAAGAUAAUCAAUGACUAAGACAGUAGCUCUUGACUUGUCUGUCUGUAUCUGAAAGGGGUCACCAGAUAAGUGCAAAGAACUGGGAAACCAAAUGUGAUCUUAAAACACUGUUAGAACCCUUAAAAAAUAGGAGAAUACAAAGGAAUAACCUGCUGACUGCCUUUUCACAGCCUCCCUAUUGCAUUAGGCUAAUAUGGAGCUGAGAUGGACGUCAUUUGAGUGGAAUUUUGUCUUUUUCCAGUUCCAAGGGGAACUGCUUUUAUCCUUUGCUAUCAUAGUCAGUAUAAGUACUGGGAUAAACACUGAAGCUAAUAUGGGUGACAACAAGAUUCAGCACAGGAUCACACUUCUGACACCCAAAUGUUGUAAAUUGAAUACAUAUUGAUCCUGGAAUCUCACAGUAAACAUUAGCACAGUUUUAUACACUAGCCAGCGUGUCAUCAUUGCCACAGCAUUAUGAAGAUUUCCACAAAAAACAAUGAAGGGUUAUCUGCUGUCUGACAUAUUGCUUGAGGAAAGUGUCAACGUUUUGCCACGAAAAGACUCUGUGCACUAAUAUAUGGCACUGGCACAAAACAUAUACAUUACUGGACAUGAUACAAUGUUAAAUCAUAGACAUUAAUAUAAUGUAUUAUUUAUCUUAAAUAUAGAAAUGAGAGCUAAUGAAAAUGCAGACCAUGUAAUUAACCUCAGAAUAAUCUAAAUCAUAUCAGAUAUACAGUAUAUUGUGAGAAAAUAGUGCAUUACCUGAUAGUUAUUGUUUGCAGAGAUCAUAUCAUGUACAAAAUCAAAUCUUCGUCUAUGUUUUAUAUAAUCAAGAAUUUUUGUAUUUUUAUACUUGAAAAGAGGCUUCAUAACCACAUUUUAGAUACAUUCAUUCUGUAAAUGAGUUUAUGAAUGUGUGUUUAGUUUUUUCUUGUCAUUGUUUUGGUUCCUGACUAACUACUUAGACCAUUGAACACAUUGUUAAUAUAAUUUCUUGUCAUAGAUUCAUUUGAUUCAUGGCAGAAUACAAAGAAGACAUGCAGUAAAACAAAAAAAAAACGGAAACUUUUGGGAGUCUUGUUUGAGAAACGACAGACUCUCCCAAUAGAAAUAAAUGAGGAAGGGUUGUCAACUACUUACAGUAGCAUUCCACCCAACUGGAACGGAUAGAGGGAGAGGGGAAGAAAGAAAUACAGAGAGAGCACAUUUCCUCAUCCCUCUUUACAAGUACUCACUGACGACUACCCACAACUCUCUUCUUCUAUUGUAAUUACAAGUAAAAAAUAUACUAUGUCCAAUAUGGUUUCAUGAUGAAUGUAUGGUUGUUGGAGGUCGUCUGUAGGUGUUAUAAAUCAUGUACAUAGACAGAAAAUAUGUUACUCCUAUGGAUUUUUGUGUGAAUUUCUUUUCUAUUUUGUUGAGAGGAAUGUAAUCCAAAACAGCAUGCACAUACUGUACGUUCCUGGAAUUUGCACGCUGGGAUGACGAAAGGUUCUGUUACUUCUGUGAAUAACUCUACUGUAUAACUCUGUGUAUGUUAGAUCAAACAUGGUACAGGACAAUAGAUUUUGUAUCAUGUGCAACAAGGUCGGUCAAGACCCAUUUUACUGUCAACGUUAAUGUAAAGAACAAGAGAUUAAAAUAUUGAAGAGCAACCACUGUUAUUCUGAGAGUGAUGCUUGCGGUGUGAGAUAAGUGUUGUUUGUGAGUACUGAAGAAGAAUGGUGAAGUAACAUAGUAUGAAUGUUAAAGACCAACUAACAGUGCAAAUGCUAUGCCAAUUCUAUGUAUUGAAAGAACUGUUGCUGCUUUUUGUGAGAAAAUCAACUAUGGUACUUAACAGACCGCUGCUUUUGUACCUUCCUGUUGUGUUUUUGUGAGAAUAAAAGUGACCCUCUUGUACACGAAAGGACUCGAUUCAAAUUCAUUCAGUGUCUGAAGAACUCCAAACCAGUUUCAUGUCUCAUGACUUUGAUGUUAUAAAUAAAGUAGCAG